rnacentral:rRNA from 1 species
UACGAGGGGGGCAAGCGUUGUUCGGAAUUAUUGGGCGUAAAGGGUGCGUAGGCGGUCUGGUAAGUCUUGUGUGAAAUCUUCGGGCUCAACUCGAAGUCUGCACGAGAAACUGCCGGGCUUGAGUAUGGGAGAGGUGAGUGGAAUUCCUGGUGUAGCGGUGAAAUGCGUAGAUAUCAGGAGGAACACCUGUGGCGAAAGCGGCUCACUGGACCAUAACUGACGCUGAUGCACGAAAGCUAGGGGAGCAAACAGG